UCUUGGUCANNNUUAGAGGAAGUAAAAGUCGUAACAAGGUCUCCGUUGGUGAACCAGCGGAGGGAUCAUUACCGAGUUUUUACAACUCCCAAACCCCAUGUGAACCUUACCAAUCUGUUGCUUCGGCGGGAUCGCCCCGGGCUCGCCCCGGAACCAGGCGCCCGCCGGAGGACCAAACUCUUCUGUUUUUUAGUUGUAUCUUCUGAGUCUUCAUACAAAUGAAUCAAAACUUUCAACAACGGAUCUCUUGGUUCUGGCAUCGAUGAAGAACGCAGCGAAAUGCGAUAAGUAAUGUGAAUUGCAGAAUUCAGUGAAUCAUCGAAUCUUUGAACGCACAUUGCGCCCGCCAGUAUUCUGGCGGGCAUGCCUGUUCGAGCGUCAUUUCAACCCUCAAGCACUGCUUGGUGUUGGGGACCGGCUUGCCUUCAGCGCCUGCCGCCCCCGAAAUACAGUGGCGGUCUCGCCGCAGCCUCCUCUGCGUAGUAGUUUACAACCUCGCAUACGGAGCGCGGCGCGGCCACGCCGUAAAACCCCCUACUUUCAAAGGUUGACCUCGAAUCAGGUAGGAAUACCCGCUGAACUUAAGCAUAUCAAUA
rnacentral:rRNA from 1 species